UACAGAGGUCUCAAGCGUUGUUCGGAUUCAUUGGGCGUAAAGGGUGCGUAGGCGGCGCGGUAAGUCGGGUGUGAAAUCUCGGAGCUUAACUCCGAAACUGCAUUCGAUACUGCCGUGCUUGAGGACUGGAGAGGAGACUGGAAUUUACGGUGUAGCGGUGAAAUGCGUAGAUAAUCGUAAGGAAGACCGAGUGGCGAAGGCGGGUCGCUGGACAGUUCCUGACGCUGA
rnacentral:rRNA from 1 species